UAGGAUACAUUUAAUGGGGCUUGUUCUA
rnacentral:sRNA from 1 species